GACGAACGCUGGCGGCGUGCUUAACACAUGCAAGUCGAACGGUAAGGCCCCAGCUUGCUGGGGUACACGAGUGGCGAACGGGUGAGUAACACGUGGGUGACCUGCCCCGCACUUCGGGAUAAGCCUGGGAAACUGGGUCUAAUACCGGAUAGGACCGCACCGUGAGGGUGUGGUGGAAAGUUUUUCGGUGUGGGAUGGGCCCGCGGCCUAUCAGCUUGUUGGUGGGGUAAUGGCCUACCAAGGCGGCGACGGGUAGCCGGCCUGAGAGGGUGGACGGCCACAUGGGGCUUGGGACGCGGCCCAGGCCCCAACGGGGGGAAGCGGGGGGGAAUAUUGCACAAGGGGGGGAGGCCUGAGGCAGCGCCGCCGGGGGGGGGAGGACGGCCUUCGGGUGGAAAACCCCUUUCCCCAUCGACGAAGGUUUUCGGAGGGUAGUGGGAAAAGAAGCCCCGGCUAACUCCGU
rnacentral:rRNA from 1 species